AAAGGAAAAGAGAAAAACCUUACCUCUUCUCUUCUCUUAUACGUGAACCAACCUCAUCACCACCACCUAAGGAAUUCAUCACCAAAACUUCUUCUUUUUUGAAGAAAAAUAAUCUUAGAGCUAAGGUAAUCAACAAGAGGUGUUCAUGGUUCAAAUUUGAGCAAGUGGAUGAUGAAUUAUGGAGAUAGGAGUGUUCGGCCAUGAUCAAUGGUUAAGGGUAAGAAUUUUUGAAAUUUUUAAGUCUUUGAUGGAUGUAUUUGAUUGAUGUUUUGGCUUGUGAAUUUAGCAAUAAUAGUGAGGAUAAGAUGUUUGAUAGAUUGUCUAAGUUAAUUAUGGAAUAUGUGUUGUGUUUUGGUUAAGAGGAUGAACUUAUGGUUCGGCCAUAAGUUUAAGGUGAUGAUAAAAUGUUAGUUGCUGAUCAUAAGUAUGAGUUUGAGUAUAUAGGACUGAAUUAUGAUGAGUUUAGGAUUGAUUAAGAUGGAAUGCAAGUUUGGAGUAAGUUGCUGGAAAUUGCAGAAAGUGAGCUGCAGAACAGCCACGUUAUGGAGAUGAUAUCUCGAGAUAUAGAGCUCUAAAUUAAGUUCCGUUUAUUGGUACAAAAAUUUAAUAAUUUCUUCUAAAUAUGUCUAAAUUUAAGUUUUUGCCAAUUCGGCCUCUAAGUGGUCCAAACGAAGCAGAACAUUAAGUUGCGCGUAGUAGUUCUGAAAACAGGACAUGCCCUAGUUAUUAACUUAAGGGCUAAUUUCUGGCACCUUCGGGUGCUAGACUUAGUUCGAGACCUAAACGAAAGUCGAAAAUGACAUUUUGAACUUUAAGAAUGUCGGUUUCAUUUAGAGGUCGGACUAUGUUACGAUUAGCAAACAUAGUCGACUACGGGGUUGAUAGUGCAACAAGUUAUGUAACUUGUUUAAUCUCGAGUUUAUGUGUCUAUUGAGUUAGAAUCUCACUCGAGAUCUAUAUGAUUUGUCCUAGGUUCGACAAGGCAACCUAAUAGCGGACAAGGAGCUCAUGGAGCUUACGCUAUAGUAAACGAAGAUUUUGGAUAAGCAAGUCGUGUAUGGUCUAUGACACGACGAACUUCUACUUUAGUUCCAGAAGUCAUUAUGUACAGGAAGAAUGAGUCAAUUGCAGUAGGGCCGAGUCCUAGUCUAUGUAUGAUUAUUUGUCAAACGGUUUUCAUGAAUGAUAAAACUCUGAUAUAAGUGUAAUGUUUUGACUUCCGCUUUAAAAUUGUUUGUUUUGACUGGUAUGAUACGAAACGGGCGGUGCUAGGAUGUGAGACAUCGUAUGGUAAGACCCAGGUUCCUAAUGUGACGUUUUCAGGUUUUGAAAGAGACAUUUGUAUACGUUAAAGUUCAAGGAGCUUUCAAUGAAAACGUUUUGUGUAUGAAAGAUGAUUUAUAUGUUUAAAGGUUUGCGAAAAAUUUAUGUGUAUUUUUAAAGGCUUGCUACGGGUUUCGGAACUACCUUUCGCAUUCUCUAGCGCCGGUCGCGGCUCGAGAUUUCGGGACGUGACAACGGAUCUGGCGGUUUCAAGUUCUAAUCGAAAGUGUUUCAAAAUCAAGACCCUCGCACGUAAUGGGACUUUGCUCAUCAUUUGCAGCCCAAAAUGGCAACCUCAGCGAGAUUCACGACUUGAGUCUUUUCG